AUGUCUAGCCACCAAACGUCCUCAGAUCAAGUUCUCAGCAUGGUGGUGGAGCAAGCAAUUUACCCAAUCACCGUUGAGGUGAUGUAUUCCCUCUUCGGUCCCUUCGGUGUUGAGCAGUUGGUGGUGUAUCCCCCAACAAUAUCAGAGGAUGGACAGCCAUGUGUGGCGGCGGAUGUGCGGUUUUGUUCGGCACACGCGGCGGCGCACGCGUUGGCAUACUGGGACGGCCGCUGCAUCUACUUCCGGUGCUGUCGACUGCAGAUGUGGAAUGCUACGCCUGACGUGUUGCCGGCGCCAACCUCACCGCCAACGCGCACGGCAACGCCGGAUGCGUUCAUGGCGGGCGAUACUGCUGCCUCGGCACACUCCACUGUCUUGGACCCCUCCGUCAACAUCCCUACGGCGGCCAGCACCAGCACGCUGCCUCACGUCCAGGAUACACCCCCCAAGUCUUCCCUCGAUAGCAAAGGCCGCGUCCUCGUCACAAGCACGACCGAGUACACAUUGGUGGCGGCAAAUCCAGAAGUCGUCACCGAGCUCGCCGUCCUCCCCGGCGACCUCUCCUCCACCACCAAGGCCCAGGAGAUCCCCAGGGUCGCCCAUGAUGCAGCCCCGGUGUGCAUCGCGAUGGUGCCCGUCACCUGUUCGACGGAGUGCUCGACCCAGGUCGACACCAUCGACAGCGUCGACAAGGUCCAUGACACCACUGCUUCCAUCUUCCCCACGCCCACAGUCGACAUCCAGCAUGCCCUCGACACCACCGUCCACGUCGCCAAGGGUUUGGGACCAUCCAAUGGUGACGACGAGUUCGUCCGCACCAUCGGCACUCCGCCGCUCGCGUCGCCAACAAUGCUGAUGUCGCUGCUUCCAGCAGCCUCCCCGGCGCCUAUCACCGACUCUGCUCAUCGUGCCAUUAACGGUGACUCUAUCCCGCGGGUGCCCCUGGACAUGGAGGAAGUGCUUCUGCUCACUCAAGCCCCUUGCAUGGUUUCAGUCGUCACUUCUAUGCAGCUGCUCGUGAACCGUGACUUGGACGACUCCCUGCCAACAAAGUGUUCACAUGUCUGCCUCAGUGACACACCUAUGUCCUCAUUAAGCAUGAUGGUGUCUCCGCGCAUCAGGCACGAGACGCUAGUGCUACGGCCGAUGCCGUGGCCAUCGCUUUUGAAGGAUUCCACAGAGGGAUAG
rnacentral:rRNA from 1 species